GACGAACGCUGGCGGCGUGCUUAACACAUGCAAGUCGAACGGAAAGGCCCUGCUUUUGUGGGGUGCUCGAGUGGCGAACGGGUGAGUAACACGUGAGUAACCUGCCCUUGACUUUGGGAUAACUUCAGGAAACUGGGGCUAAUACCGGAUAGGAGCUCCUGCUGCAUGGUGGGGGUUGGAAAGUUUCGGCGGUUGGGGAUGGACUCGCGGCUUAUCAGCUUGUUUGUGGGGUAGUGGCUUACCAAGGCUUUGACGGGUAGCCGGCCUGAGAGGGGGACCGGCCACAUUGGGACUGAGAUACGGAGCAGACGCCUACGGGAGGCAGCAGUGGGGAAUAUUGCACAAUGGGCGGAAGCCUGAUGCAGCAACGCCGCGUGCGGGAUGACGGCCUUCGGGUUGUAAACCGCUUUCGCCUGAGACGAAGCGUGAGUGACGGUAAUGGGUAAAGAAGCACCGGCUAACUACGUG
rnacentral:rRNA from 1 species